UCCUAAGGCGAGCUCAGGGAGGACAGAAACCUCCCGCGGAGCAGAAGGGCAAAAGCUCACUUUAUCUUGAAUACAGACUGUGAAAGCGGGGCCUCAC